GUCAUGGAAGUCGAAAUCCGCUAAGGAGUGUGUAACAACUCACCUGCCGAAUCAAGUAGCCCUGAAAAUGGAUGGCGCUCAAGCGAAUUACCGAUACUCAGCCAUCUGUGCUUUUGUGAUGCAUAGAUGAGUAGGAGGGCGUGACGGUGGUGCCGAAGGUGUGGCGGUGACGUCCACUUGAACCACCGUUAGUGCAGAUCUUGGUGUUAGUAGCAAAUAUUCAAAUGAAAACUUUGAAGACCGAAGUGGAGAAAGGUUUCACGUGAAGUUUAAUGCGACGUGAGUGACCCAGUCCUAAUCGUCUCCUGAAAUGGUUUGAACGGCACUUAUGUGCUAUUACGAGAAAGGGAAUCCGGUUAAUAUUCCGGAGGUGCAAUCAAGUUGCUUAGUGGUAACACAGUAGAACUGGGUGACGCCAGCGAGGGCCCUGGAAAGAGUUUUCUUUUCUUUUUAACAAAUUGCGCAACUAUGGAAUGGGAUUAUCCCGAGAGGUAGUUGUGUGUUUGGCAAAGCAGACGACCUUCUCGUUUGUCCGGUGCGCUCUCGAUGGUCCUUGAAAAGCCUGGGGAUUAUAUGCAACGGAGUUGUAGCUGUACUCAUAACCGCAUCAGGUCUCCAAGGUGAAUAGCCUCUGGUCGAUGUGAUAAUGUAGGUAAGGGAAGUCGGCAAAUUAGGUCUGUAACUUCGGGAAAAGGACUGGCUCUUAGGACAGGGUGUAUGAGGCUUCCUGUUAAAUCGUUCGGGCGUUGAAGUUUGGCUAACUCCUCACGGGGUAGGCCGAACGGCAACGACUGUCCGAGGAAACUGGAAGAUGCUUCGGCGAUCUCUGCACGCUUAACUGUUAACUGAGAACUGGCGCGGACAAGGGGAAUCCGACUGUUUAAUUAAAACAAAGCAUUCUGAUGGUCGGAAACGAUGUUGACAGAAUGUGAUUUCUGCCCAGUGCUCUGAAUGUCAAAGUGAUGAAAUUCAAUUAAGCGCGGGUAAACGGCGGGAGUAACUAUGACUCUCUUAAGGUAGCCAAAUGCCUCGUCAUCUAAUUAGUGACGCGCAUGAAUGGAUUAACGAGAUUCCCACUGUCCCUACCUACUACACAGUGAAACCACAGCCAAGGGAACGGGCUUGGGUGUUACGGCGGGGAAAGAAGACCCUGUUGAGCUUGACUCUAGCCAGACUUUGUGAGGUGACAUAAGAGGUGCAGCAUAAGUGGGAGAGUAAUCGUCCUUGAGAUACCACUACUCUUGUCGUUGUCUUACUUAUACAUUUAGUAAGCGACAGAACUCAAACGUUCUGCUUAUAGUCUUAAGUACCUUCGGGUGCGAGCUUGGAUGUUGACAGUGUCUGACGGGGAGUUUGGCUGGGGCGGCACAUCUGUUAAAUGAUAACACAGGUGACCCAAGAUCAGCUCAGCGAGAACAGAAAUCUCGCGUAGAGUCUAAGGGCAAAAGCUGAUUUGACUUUCACCUCCAGUGACGGUGGAAGCUGUGAAAGCAUGGCCUAGCGAACCAUCAGUGCGUGGAUAUUACGCCUGGUGCUGUCAGAAAAGUUACCACAGGGAUAACUGGCUUGUGGCAGCCAAGCGUUCAUAGC
rnacentral:rRNA from 1 species